rnacentral:rRNA from 1 species
AUACGUAGGGGGCGAGCGUUGUCCGGAAUGAUUGGGCGUAAAGGGCGCGUAGGCGGCGCGGUAAGUCUGGAGUGAAAGUCCUGCUUUCAAGGAGGGAAUUGCUUUGGAUACUGCCGCGCUUGAGUGCAGGAGAGGUUAUCGGAAUUCCCGGUGUAGCGGUGAAAUGCGUAGAGAUCGGGAGGAACACCAGUGGCGAAGGCGGGUAACUGGACUGCAACUGACGCUGAGGCGCGAAAGUGUGGGGAGCAAACAGGAUUAGAUACCCUGGUAGUCCACACUGUAAACGAUGAAUGCUAGGUGUAAGAGGUAUCGACCCCUUUUGUGCCGGAGUCAACACAAUAAGCAUUCCGCCUGGGGAGUACGGCCGCAAGGUUGAAACUUAAAGGAAUUGACGGGG